rnacentral:rRNA from 1 species
AUGGACGGGCACGUCGGCCAGUUCUUCGAGUCAGUCAGCUCGAUCUUCCGCGGGAGCGACACCCUCCCCGUCUGCGACCGCGACAUCAUCGCCGGUUGUGAAACAGAGGUUGCUGAGGCUGCAAAUGAAGAACAGAAGAACGACAGCCUCAUGAGGCUGUCAUGGGCGCUUGUUCACUCUAGGCAGCCCGAGGAUGUCAACCGCGGCAUUGGAAUGCUUGAAGCUUCUUUCGGCAAGUCUAACAGUCCGCUACAAACAAGGGAGAAGCUCUAUUUGUUGGCUGUUGGACACUACAGAAAUGGGGAUUACACAAGAAGCCGUGAGCUUCUGGAAAGAUGCUUAGAGGUUCAACCUGAUUGGAGGCAAGCUCUUACUUUGGAAAGGCUCCUUGAAGAGAAAACCAAAAGAGAUGGUAUGAUUGGCAUGGCCAUUGUGACUGGCGCCUUUGGACUUGUGGGGCUUGUUGCUGGUGGAAUCAUAGCUGCUGCUUCAUCGUCCAGGAAGAAAUGA